UGUAAAAGAACAAAAAAAGGCAGACUUAGUGUUUUAGUGACUGGAGUGUCUCUUUAAAGUAUGCAUGCAGCAUCCAAAUGAUUACAUUGUAAGUUCUCUGGCCAGAUAAUACACAUAUGCAGGGUAUAAACACUAUACCUGGUGUGACAAAAAUUAACUCUUCCCCCCCGUUGUAGAAUUACAACCCCAGUGCUGCUUUGCAAGUCUGGCCAUCCCUGUGUUUUACCAAACUACAGCUGCCUGAUGGUCUUGGUACCAUUCAUCUCUGGAUGCUACAGACAUCUCUGAAGAAGCUCUACUUUCCUGGAUUUUGAAUGUAAAAUAAUGGACAUUAUCUCGGAUUUUACUCUGAGUACUCAGGAUAUGAAUAUGUAUCUGUGAAUAUAUUUAGCCCUCUUAUUGCCAUGGGGUUUUGGCUGCAUUGAUUACUAUACAUCUAAUCCCUUGAGAUUUUACUAGGAUGCUUUUAAUGAUCCAGCUUAUUUUUUGUAAUUGUUUUUUUUUUUCUUCUUCUAAUUGAAGAUGUCACAUUUCACAGGGCAUGCUUGGCGAGAACAUAUUUUAUUAAAUUCCCAAUUAAAUUCUAGGUCUCAAAGCUCUGUAACUAAAAUGCAACUUGCUUCCAUUUAUGCUUUUCAGUUG